UAAUGAGACUACCAAUCAACUCAAUCCAAAGGGUAAAUACAUAGAGAUCACCUGACCACAAAAUUUCGCCGUUCACAAUCUAAGAACAUAUUCAAAGUCCAAUUUGUCUUUUCCCUGAUUUUGUCUCUCACAAUAGCAAAGCUAAUUUGGUCUCUUGGAGUAAAGCGGUCCACUUCAUUGAACCAAAGACAGGUAAAGAGGUUGGAGAUUGGAAUAUGCUCUUUUACAAUCACACACCCCUCUGUAACAUCUGCAAACAUAAUAGUAUGCUCAAUUGGUUUAUCAAACAAAAAAUGGCGGGGAUCAAUAGAGAGGAAUUAUUAAUUAGACGUAAAGAAAGAUGAGAUACAUGAGUAUCACACCCUAACCCCUCGUGAUAGGAAGUUUAGCUCUGGUAUAUGGAGUUAGACCUUCCUUAUAGAAGUCAACCUGGAAAUCAUGGAAGCAUUGUCAAACUUAAAAGCAGCCUUAUUAGCCUCUACUUCUACAAACACAUCAAAGCGCCUGUAGUGUCUUGAUAUUGCAAAGCUUUCAUUUUUUCUCCACAAGAAUCUGACAUAGAAAUGAGAAAAUUCAACUAGCUAGUUAUGCAUAACACAAAAGGAUAUCAGAAUCAGAAAGUUGGGAUUCAAUAAACGCAGCAUUUAUCAGAAGCACAUUGACCUUCAAAGAAAGAUAACUCCCUUCGAUAACUAAGCCCAAUCAGCCCUUUCGUUCACAUGCAUAGUUUUACACUUAGUCAUGCACCAGUGAGCAGUAUGACUUCUUUAUCUCUGUAACGUAUCAACCAUUUUAAAAGCCUUGUUCUAUCCUAGCAAAAUAGUGAGCAUGUCUCAUACUAGGUAUAAGCGCCACAUCACACUGAGGACCAUUUUGACAUGAACAGGCUCAGACUGACGAUUCAAACAGGUGACUGAAUUUAGGGCAACACACAUCUCCCAUGACAGACACUUUGUAACUAUUGCCUUCUAUAUCAACGGGUUGAUUAAGGAUGUGCAAGAUGCUAUGAAUGAGAGCCUCCCAGAACCACAAUGUCUGUAAACUAUAGUUCAACUUAAGUUGGGAAACAUUAACCAAAUCCCUGUCCAGUAACAAAUUUGCUUGAAGCAUAACUUAUACCUCUUAGAAACCCACCUCGGCGGCCCCAAAUUCUAUAUUAUUAUUUUUUUUAACUUGCACCGGGUGUUCGAGAGUCCGAGACUCUUCGGGUCCCGACUAAUCCUGGGGUGCACAGGCCCUCGGCAAGGAGUUUCCUCAAGUGCACCACGGGUAAUUGUUUGCCCCAAAUUCUAUGAAAUGUUCUCCAGUAGGUUAGACCUUAGUAAUGAUAACUAUAAUUCAAUUGCUUGCUCUUUUCAGAAAAUCAACUGAAUAGAGCUCAAAUUGUGUUAUCAUCUUUCCUCUCUUGAGUAGUCACAAAUCAUUUGUUCAUUUUCAUAAUUGCUUAUAACCUCUUAAAUAUGAACUUUGUGCCCUGUUGCGUCAUUGACUUUUACAGUGCCGAUCCUGUAUUUGACUAUUUUCAACGUUUUGUUUGAAUAACUAUUAUCCACUUAAUGAGUCUCUGUAAUUCAGACACCAUCCAUCUCACACAUCUUUUACGUAAUGCCAUUAAAGUGGCAACGCAUGCCACUUUUUGCCAUUGACUGUGUUCUCCUCUAUAUAAGAUGAUCCUUUGGAUUGCUGGUUUGCAGACGAUAGGAUGUACGAUUGAUGUAAUAAUCUUCAUGACAAAACAGGUAUUGAACUUCAUGUGGCUCAAGUCUUUUCUCCUUUGGCGCUACUUUCGCUUCUGGUCACUGAUCAAUGGUAUUGAGGCCCCUGAGAAUAUACCUAGAUGUAUAAAUAAUUGCUACAACUUGGAAAGUUUUUGGAGAAACUGGCAUGCCUCGUUUACCAAAUGGCUUGUUAGAUAUAUGUAUAUUCCUCUUGGGGGUACUCAGACGAAGCUGCUAAAUGUGUGGGUUAUCUUGACAUUUGUUGCUGUAUGGCAUGAUCUGGAGUGGAAACUUCUUUCUUGGGCAUGGUUGACCUGCAUAGUCUUUAUACCAGAAAUGAUUGUAAAGUCAACAACAAAUACUUUGAAGGUACUUCCAUUUGAAUGUUAAUUCCACUCCUUUUACAAAAUUAACUGAAUAGUUUUCCCAACAAGUAAUUAUAUUUUGUCAUGCCAUGUUACUGAUCUAAUUGUACUCACUAGGUGAAAAGUUCUGUUGGCAAGUUUCUAUACCAUGAACUUCCAUGAACUUAGUGCUGUUGACGGGGCUAUCACCAUCACUUGUCUAAUGGUAACCUGCUGCUGGUGGCAGGUAUCAUGUGGAUUUAGUCGAGGUGCACAGGAGUUGGCUCGGACACCAUGAUUAUCUUAAAAAAAAAAAGUAUAAGGUGGCCAAUCUUGUUGGUUUUGUCAUUGGAUCAUCGGGGAUCAAUUGGUUGCUCUAUAAAUUUCUCCAGAAAGAAGGACUACCUACUCUUGGUGGCAUGUUUAUUACGUUUUACGUUGGAACUAAGCUGAUGUUUCACAUCUCUGAUGCCAAGCAAAAACGCAUCCACAGCUGAUGACAAAGGUUCAUUCCUGGGCAAGCAGAUCACAAACAACAUGAUACAAAACCCAUUAGCAUCUACAGUGUGUUCCCAUGUCGUGAGAGGAUACUAUCUAUAGUUAAUACUUGGGUCAUUUUCAUCUUUGAAUUAAUCCAUCAACCAACUUUAC